GGUUGCCCCGACACACCCCUACAGGACCUUCGCUUGUGUGUACGCACGCGCACCUGGAAGUAUCUGAUUCGGUUCUGGGAGAGCCUUGGAUGACCAGAGGGAGAGCCUUGGAGGACCAGAGACAGAUUGGAGUCGCACCUGCCGGCAGGUGGAGAGAGAGGGAGGCUUCCGAGGCUACUUCUGAAGCAGAACGGAUCUUGGAAGCUGAGGUCAGGGAAUGGAGAGAGCUGCAGGGAUGAGGUCACUGAGGCCCAGAGAAGUGAAGUGACUCGGCCAAGGUCACACAGCAGACAAGUGGCGGAGCGGGGAUCAGGACCCACGACCUCCUAACUCCCAGGCCGGUGCUUCGUCCACUACGCCAUGCUGCUUCUCAGACAGCAUCUUCCCCAGGCCCAUCAUAGAAUCUUAAAUUCAGGAGGAAGUUCAAGAAGUCAUCUGAUCCAACCUCCUGCCACCAGAACAGGUGCGUGACUAAGCCAUCCAGAUUAAACGAUGCUCCGCUCCCCUUCGGAAGAUGACCCACUCUGGCCUGUCCCACUGUUUUAUCACCCUGAGAGUGAAGAAGGAAUCUGCUUUCUGUCUUCCCCCCAUGACGGUUCACUCUGGAGAGUGGUUUCGGGGGCUGGGGAAAGAGAAGAGGUCACUGCAGCUGGUCUCCCCACUGAAACUUCAUUCUUGGGGAGGUUUAGGUAAGGAUAUAAUGUACAUUUUUUUCCCCCUGGGAGCUGCUUGCCGUUCCUGAGGAAAAAUCCCCAAGAAUUGACAUUAAAUUUAGAAGUGUGAAA